rnacentral:rRNA from 1 species
UGUCCUACGGGACGCAGCAGUGAGGAAUAUUGGUCAAUGGACGAGAGUCUGAACCAGCCAAGUAGCGUGAAGGAUGACUGCCCUAUGGGUUGUAAACUUCUUUUAUAUGGGAAUAAAAUGUUCCACGUGUGGGAUUUUGUAUGUACCAUAUGAAUAAGGAUCGGCUAACUCCGUGCCAGCAGCCGCGGUAAUACGGAGGAUCCGAGCGUUAUCCGGAUUUUUUGGGUUUAAAGGGAGCGGAGGUGGAUUGUUAAGUCAGUUGUGAAAGUUUGUGGCUAAACCGUAAAAUUGCAGUUGAAACUGGG